AAGGUUGUGAGCGGAUGGACUGGAAUUCCUAUAGCUACGCUUAAUCAAGAGGAGUCUAAGUUAAUUCACUUAGCCGACAGAUUGCAUGAGAGAAUAGUUGGGCAGGAUGAGGCCGUCAAUUUAGUUGCAGAAGCAGUGUUACGUUCCAGGAUUGGCCUUCACCAAGCUGGCCAGCUAAUAGGCUCCUUCCUCUUUUUGAGCACGACGGGUGUUGGAAAAACUGAACUUGCGAAAGCUCUUGCAGAACAACUAUUUGGUAGUGAGAAGAUGAUGCUUCGCUUUGAUAUGUCUGAGUAUGUUAGUCCCGAAUCCGUGCAACGUCUCAUUGGAGCACCCCCAAGCUAUCUUGGUUAUGAAAAUGGUGGGCAACUGACCGAGAAAGUGAGGAGGCGCCCAUACAGUGUUAUCCUUUUUGAUGAGGUGGAGAAGGCAUAUCCGUCGGUGUUGAAUGUUUUUCUUCAGCUCCUUGACGAUGGUGUGUUGACUGAUGGUAAAGGACAUAAUGUGGAUUUCAAGAAUACAAUUAUCUUUAUGACUUCAAAUGUUGGGGCAGAGCACCUAAAUGUAGGAGUGGUUGGAGAAAAGACAACGGCUGCUUCACGAAAUCUUCUCAUGAAACAGGUUCAAAAAAGCUUCAAGCCCGAAUUUCUCAACAGAUUAAGCGAGAUUGUAGUAUUUGAGCCGCUUUCACACCGUUAACUGAAAGGGAUCGUGAAUAUCCAAAUGAAGACUGCCACGUAA
rnacentral:rRNA from 1 species